AUGCUCGGCGCCGGCCUCGGCUCUAGAAUCAGCAAGGCGAUGGCGGCCCUGCUCCGGCGCCGCCGCCGGCUGCUCCGAAUCGCUACACCAGCUGGCAGCGGGGCGCCGUGGUCGGAGCUCCCGCCGGACCUGCUGUUCCUCGUGCUCUCCCGCCUUCCCUCAUACGCCGACCGCGUCAGCCUCCGCGCCGUCUGCCGGCCGUGGCGCUCCGCCGCGCGCCUGCAGCCGUUCGCGUGGCUCUUCGUCCGCGCCGACACCUUCCUCGCCCUCCCAGAGGGCGCGCUCCACCGCAUGCCCCUCGACCGCAACCAAAUCCUCUUACGUGUCCCCAUUGCCACUGGCCGCAUGUUCUUCCUGGUGCACCGUGACGGCAGCUGCUACCUCACGAACCCUUCUUCCGGGGAGAGCACCCCUCUGCACAUCAGCAGCGACAGCCUCAAGAUCGACCUCGGCUGCCGCAGCUACAACUGGAUCAGGAAGGUGGUGGUCUCCGACGGCAUCGUCGCCGUUCCCUACUGUGGCAUGGUCACGAUCUUUCCUCGCAUGGCGUCGCCAGGUCAAGGUGCCAGAUUGUGCUGGGUGCCCCCUGCAAUGUUUCCAACAGCAAGCAUCCAUGUCGACACCGAUAUUGCACUCUUCCAAGGUGAGCUCUACGUGGUCCUCACCAAUAAACAUAACAAGAGUGGCUCUGAACUGCCGGAGCUCCAUCGCCUGGAAAUCGACGACGAGCAGAACCGCGUCAGGUCAGUCCAAUGCAUACGCCGCACGCCAAGAAACCACGUGGACGACCCUGCCCGGUCCUGGACGCCAAGAAACGGCAUGGACCGAACCUGGCGCUCCGUCUUCUACCUUGUCCCGUGCGGCGACCGGCUGCUAAUGGUGGAAAGGCGGACCCUCGUUGAGCGCUUCGUGGUCUGGGAGGGUGCCGUCCGACAGCGCGGUUCGAGGCCCAUACGGACCCAGCUCGAGGCCUGGGAGGGGGUGGACCUGAUCGGAGGCCAUGGGCAUUGGAGCAAGGUGGACACGUUGAUGGGGCAUGCGCUCUUCGUCAGCCGAGGCUGCUCUCAGUCGCUCCCUGCAUCAGCCCAAUGUGGAGCUCAACAAGAUUGCAUCUACUUUGCGAUGACUGAGCGUCCUAGACGGAAAAGGGAGCCUCAGGAUGACGUUUUCCGCUGUGUUGUGUACAACGUGAGAGACGGGACAAUGGAGCCACUGGAGACGAGCGAACCGACGGUCCGUCCAUGGGAACCCACCUGGUUUUUCCCUGCCCAUGCUUGA
rnacentral:rRNA from 1 species